CAGGUGUACCUGGAGUGACGGGGGAUGUUGGACUCAUGAGACCUCCUGGACUGGAUGGAAUGUCUGGAGCUACUGGACUGGAAGGAGAUAAUGGUGAGAAAGGAAAUCAAGGAAACAUGGGGAUGCCUGGUGCUCCGGGGUUACUUGGGAGACAAGGAGAGAAAGGUCUACUCCAGAAGCGAGAACGACAGCAUCUUCACCGGCUUCCUGCUCUAAGCCGAUCCCAAGGCCUGACCUAUGACUUCGUCUGUGAACCCGGCUUGACCACUGCAUGAGCUUUAUCUGACAACUUAUGCUGACUGGAUCACCUCCAAACUCUUUUCACUACUCUGAUAAAUGAUCUCUUUCAAUAUAGCUACUGCUACUAACUUUGUUCCUGCUUAUUGCUAUCAAAAUAAUCUGACCAAAUGCUUGCUGUAUUUUGAUGGUAAAGGCUGUAAAACUUUAUCCAGUGGUUCCCAAACUGUGGGAAGACAUUUUCAGUGGUUCCCGAACAGUGGAAAAACUUUUCAGUGUAAACUUAAAUGACUGACACCAAAUAGAAUGUAUGUAUAAAAGAUAAUGGACCUAUAUAUUUUUCAAUAAUCGCCUAUAAUCUUUGAGAAUUUACAAUCAGGCCCCCAUUGAUUUAGUUAAAAUGCUUGAGCAUAAGAACACCAGCCAUGUCAAAAUUUGGAAAUUCACUUAAACACAGAAAACAAAUUAUCUCAGCUCCGUGGCAAAAUGCAUAGAAUUGUAGGGAAUUGACUUUAAAAUUGCAAAAUGUUCUUUCAGCUCCAUGGCAGGAUGUGUGGAAUUGCAGGAGAUUAGCUUUGAAACUGCUACAUUUUCUUAUCUAGAUGCCAAGAUAAUAUUUGUUAAUUAUUCUUUGGUCUGUGUAUGUUGUUUUUUUUUAACAGCUCAACCUUUAUGUUGGGUCACGACUCAAAAGACACCUCAAUCGGUGGGUCAGUUUGGGAACCCCUGCUUUAUACAACGCUUACAGUUUCUAUCAAUGCAUUAAAACACUGCUAAUGCUUGAAA